rnacentral:piRNA from 1 species
UAAUAUGAGGAGGUUUAGAGUUUUUGC